ensembl:lincRNA
UAUGUUAUGAAACUCUUACAUUCUAACUAAUACAUUUUUUUCUUUUAAGUGUAAAAACCAUCAUGUACAACUCAACAAUUUAUUGAAACAUAAACUCUGCCUGAAUAAAGAAAUAGGACAUCACCAGCACUCCCAAGACUAUCCUCUCCCUCACCUAAAGAUCCUCCAUGAUGAAAGAGGGAAAGGAGAAGGACCCAGCUCAGGCGUGCCUUCACAGGGUGAGUUGCAAUUCUCGAGUUUC